rnacentral:rRNA from 1 species
CCGUGGUCGAUCCCGGCCGCCGGGAAAUGUGGUGUUAGGGAGGGUCCAUUAUCCCGAGAUCAUGCGGCGCGUCCAAGUCCUUCUUGAACGGGGCCACAGCCCAUAGAGGGUGCCAGGCCCGUAGUGACCGCUGCUGAUUGCGGGAGGAUCUCUCCUCAGAGUCGGGUUGCUUGAGAGUGCAGCCCUAAGUGGGUGGUAAACUCCAUCUAAGGCUAAAUAUGACCACGAGACCGAUAGCGAACAAGUACCGUGAGGGAAAGUUGAAAAGCACUUUGAAGAGAGAGUUCAAGAGUACGUGAAACCGUUUAGGGGUAAACCUGAGAAACCCGAAAGGUCGAAGGGAGAAAUUCAUUCGCGUUUCGAUCGUUAGCGUGAAGGGGUCGUGUGACGGAGAAGGUUUACCCGAUCUGCGCCUUCCCUUUUUCGAUCCGACGUCGAACGCGUGCACUUUUCUCCUGGUAGGACGUCGCGAUCCGUUGGGUGUCGAUCUACGGCCCGAGGUGGAGCCCGGAUGGUUUUAUGCCGUUCGGACCCUCGGUGUCCUGGCCGACUCGCUCGACGGUAUACGAACGGUCGAGGGCCGCUUUUAUAGCGUUCGACUCGUUGCAAGCGCGUCAGAAGCGUUGGAUACCGGACCUAGCGCCGAUACCGAUCUCUGAUGACUGUUGGCGACGAAGUUCUCGGACAGACCCUCACGACCGAUCUGCGACGCUAUAGCUUUGGGUACUUUCAGGACCCGUCUUGAAACACGGACCAAGGAGUCUAGCAUGUGCGCGAGUCAUUGGGAAUCAUUAAACCUAAAGGCGUAAUGAAAGUAAAGGUUCGUCUUGCACGAACCGAGGGAGGAUGGGUGAUCGUCCUUAAAAGCGAC